rnacentral:lncRNA from 1 species
GUUUUUCUGCAGUUAUCCUGACUGGACAAUGAUAUUUGUAUUCUAAAAUUAAAGAUAAUGUCAAGUUCAAUUUUAUGUAGAUCAAUUUGCAAAUUAUCCCACAAGGUGUCAAUUUUCAAUGUUUUAUAAGAAUAUGAAGGGAAAAGGCACAUAAUGAUAUAGCUCUUGUCGACAUUCGAUGUUUUGUAAGAAUAUGAAGCGAAAAGGCA